rnacentral:rRNA from 1 species
GAUGAACGCUGGCGGCGUGCCUAAUACAUGCAAGUCGAGCGAACAGACGAGGAGCUUGCUCCUCUGACGUUAGCGGCGGACGGGUGAGUAACACGUGGAUAACCUACCUAUAAGCCUGGGAUAACUUCUGGAAACCGUAGCUAAUACCGCAUAAUAAUUUGAACCACAUGGUUCAAUAUUGAAAGGCGCAUUUGCUCCACCACAUAAUUGGCCCCGCGUCGCUUUAGCUGGUUGGUAAGGUAACGCCUUACCAAGGCAAGGAUGCGUAGCCGACCGGAGAGGGUGAUCGGCCACACUGGAACUGAGAAACGGUCCAGACUCCUACGGGAGGCAGAAGUAGGGAAUCUUCCGCAAUGGGCGAAAGCCUGACGGAGCAACGCCGCGUGAGGGAUGAAGGUCUUCGGAUCGUAAAACUCUGUUAUUAGGGAAGAACAAAUGUGUAAGUAACUAUGCACGUCUUGACGGUACCUAAUCAGAAAGCCACGGCUAACUACGUC